rnacentral:rRNA from 2 species
UGGCUGCCCGAGUUGUAAUCUAGAGAAGCGUUAUCCGCGCUGGACCGUGUAUAAGUCUCCUGGAAUGGAGCGUCAUAGAGGGUGAGAAUCCCGUCUUUAACACGGACUCCCAGGGCUUUGUGAUGCGCUCUCAAAGAGUCGAGUUGUUUGGGAAUGCAGCUCUAAAUGGGUGGUAAAUUCCAUCUAAAGCUAAAUAUUGGCGAGAGACCGAUAGCGAACAAGUACCGUGAGGGAAAGAUGAAAAGAACUUUGGAAAGAGAGUUAAACAGUACGUGAAAUUGUUGAAAGGGAAACGCUUGAAGUCAGUCGCGUUGGCCAGGGAUCAACCUUGCUUUUGCUUGGUGUACUUCCUGGUUAACGGGUCAGCAUCAAUUUUGACCAGUGGAGAAAGGUCAGGGGAAUGUGGCAUCUUCGGAUGUGUUAUAGCCUCUGGUCAUAUACAUUGGUUGGGAUUGAGGAACUCAGCACGCCGCAAGGCCGGGUUUUACCACGUUCGUGCUUAGGAUGCUGGCAUAAUGGCUUUAAUCGACCCGUCUUGAAACACGGACCAAGGAGUCUAACAUGCCUGCGAGUGUUUGGGUGGAAAACCCAUGCGCGUAAUGAAAGUGAAAGUUGGGAUCCCUGUCGUGGGGAGCACCGACGCCCGGACCAGACCUUCUGUGACGGAUCCGCGGUAGAGCAUGUAUGUUGGGACCCGAAAGAUGGUGAACUAUGCCUGAAUAGGGUGAAGCCAGAGGAAACUCUGGUGGAGGCUCGUAGCGAUUCUGACGUGCAAUCGAUCGUCGAUUUGGGUAUAGG